rnacentral:rRNA from 1 species
CCUACGGGUGGCAGCAGUGAGGAAUAUUGGUCAAUGGCCGAGAGGCUGAACCAGCCAAGUCGCGUGAGGGAAGACGGCCCUACGGGUUGUAAACCUCUUUUGUCGGGGAGCAAAGAGAGUCACGUGUGACUCAUUGAGAGUACCCGAAGAAAAAGCAUCGGCUAACUCCGUGCCAACAGCCGCGGUAAUACGGGGGAUGCGAGCGUUAUCCGGAUUUAUUGGGUUUAAAGGGUGCGCAGGCGGAGGGGCAAGUCAGCGGUCAAAUUGCGGGGCUCAACCCCGUACUGCCGUUGAAACUGCAUCCCUUGAGUGCGCGAGAAGUAUGCGGAAUGCGUGGUGUAGCGGUGAAAUGCAUAGAUAUCACGCAGAACUCCGAUUGCGAAGGCGGUUUACUGGACUGCAACUGACACUGAGGCUCGAAAGCGUGGGGAGCAAACAGGAGUAGAUACCCUUGUAGUC